rnacentral:rRNA from 1 species
GAUGAACGCUAGCGGCAGGCCUAAUACAUGCAAGUCGAACGGGUGGUCGCAAGACCACUAGUGGCGCACGGGUGCGUAACGCGUAACCAACCUGCCCCGAUCUGGGGGAUAGCCCGCCGAAAGGCGGAUUAAUACCGCAUAUACCCGCAGCCUGGCAUCAGGCAACGGGGAAAGAUUUAUUGGAUCGGGAUGGGGUUGCGUGACAUUAGCUAGUUGGCGGGGUAAGGGCCCACCAAGGCGACGAUGUCUAGGGGACCUGAGAGGGUGAUCCCCCACACUAGCACUGUGAUACAGGCCUGGCUCCUACGGUAGGCCGCAGUAGGGAAAAUUGAGCAAUGAGCGAGAGCCUGAACCAGCCAUGCCGCGUGACGAAUGAAGGCCUUCUGGGUUGUAAACGGCUUUUCUCAGGGAAGAAAAAGACCUUGCGAGGUACACUGGCGGUAACUGAGGAAUAAGCACCGGCUAACUCCGUG